UACGAAGGGGGCUAGCGUUGCUCGGAAUGACUGGGCGUAAAGGGCGCGUAGGCGGAUGGCUUUGUCGGGCGUGAAAUUCCAGGGCUUAACCUUGGGGCUGCGUUCGAGACGGGUUGUCUUGAGUGGGGAAGAGGGUCGUGGAAUUCCCAGUGUAGAGGUGAAAUUCGUAGAUAUUCGGAAGAACACCAGUGGCGAAGGCGACUUACUGGACACGUAUUGACACUGAGGUGCGAAAGCGUGGGGAGCAAACAGG
rnacentral:rRNA from 1 species